rnacentral:rRNA from 1 species
CGGUUUGUUAAGUCGGAUGUGAAAUCCCUGGGCUCAACCUAGGCACUGCAUCCGAUACUGGCUGACUAGAGUGUGGGAGAGGAAGGUAGAAUUCCAGGUGUAGCGGUGAAAUGCGUAGAGAUCUGGAGGAAUACCGAUGGCGAAGGCAGCCUUCUGGCCUAACACUGACGCUGAGGUGCGAAAGCAUGGGGAGCAAAACAGGAUUAGAUACCCUGGUAGUCCAUGCUGUAAACGAUGUCAACUAGCCGUUGGGGUCUUUAAGACUUUAGUGGCGUAGCUAACGCGAUAAGUUGACCGCCUGGGGAGUACGGUCGCAAGACUAAAACUCAAAUGAAUUGACGGGGGCCCGCACAAGCGGUGGAGCAUGUGGUUUAAUUCGAUGCAACGCGAAAGUAACCUUACCUGGCCUUGACAUGUCUGGAAUCUUGUAGAGAUACGAGAGUGCCUUCGGGAAUCAGAACACAGGUGCUGCAUGGCUGUCGUCAGCUCG